AACGAGCGCUGGCGGCAUGCCUAACACAUGCAAGUCGAACGAAGCCUUCGGGCUUAGUGGCGCACGGGUGCGUAACGCGUGGGAAUCUGCCCUUGGGUUCGGAAUAACAGUUAGAAAUGACUGCUAAUACCGGAUGAUGUCUUCGGACCAAAGAUUUAUCGCCCAAGGAUGAGCCCGCGUAGGAUUAGGUAGUUGGUGGGGUAAUGGCCCACCAAGCCGACGAUCCUUAGCUGGUCUGAGAGGAUGAUCAGCCACACUGGGACUGGGACACGGCCCAGACUCCUACGGGAGGCAGCAGUGGGGAAUAUUGGACAAUGGGCGAAAGCCUGAUCCAGCAAUGCCGCGUGAGUGAUGAAGGCCUUAGGGUUGUAAAGCUCUUUUACCAGGGAUGAUAAUGACAGUACCUGGAGAAUAAGCUCCGGCUAACUCCGUGCCAGCCGCCGCCGUAAAAC
rnacentral:rRNA from 1 species